GGGAGCGUUUGGGUCCCGGUGGGCUUCGCGGACUUCAAAUCCGUCGGGAGGCGUUAGAAGCGUCUUCGGUGGGUUCGACUCCCAUACGCUCCCGCCA
rnacentral:tRNA from 1 species